CGAGUGGCUGCGGCGCGUGGCGGGCUCAGGGGAAAAGGAAGCGAUGUCGCUGGCGGCCGAAGCCAGCCCGGGCGCCCCUGGCCCGGGCAGGAGUAGCGCGCUCUUCUCGGGUUUCCGCGCGCUCGGGCUCUACUCCAAUCACUUGGCGCACGUGCUGCGCUACCACCGCCGUCACCGGGAGUUCUACCUGGUCACCGCCGCAGGGAGGAGCUUCCACACUUACAACGUGAAGAAGCUAGGCAUAGUUGCUGUUAGCAAUGCUUUGCCACAGGAUAUUACAUGUUUGGCAGCUGACAAAAUGUUGGUUUUUGCAUCAUGUGGUAGUCUUCUCAAUGCUUUUGCUCAUAACAAAGAGGUGGUUCACACUUAUAAAGGUCACAGGGCAGAUAUUCAUCUUGUGCUGCCAUUUGGGGAACAUGUGAUCUCUGUGGAUAAUGAUAAUAUUCUUAUUAUUUGGGAUAUACAGUCAGAAGAAGAAUAUUUGCAGCUAAACUUUGAUACAUCUGUGUUUGCUGUUUCUGCAAUUAUGCAUCCAAGUACCUAUUUGAAUAAAAUUCUUCUUGGUAGUGAACAAGGAACUCUACAGUUAUGGAACAUAAAAUCCAACAAACUUUUAUAUACAUUUCCAGGAUGGGGUGCAGGAGUGACGGUACUUCAACAGGCGCCAGCAGUAGAUGUAGUUGCAGUAGGCCUUGUGUCUGGUCAUAUCAUAGUGCACAAUAUUAAGUUUGAUGAAAUACUAAUGAAAUUUCAACAAGACUGGGGUCCCAUAACAACAAUAUCAUUCCGAACAGAUGGACAUCCAGUUAUGGCUGCUGGAAGUCCUAUUGGGCAUAUUGGCUUGUGGGAUCUAGAAGAAAAGAAACUUUUGGGCCAGAUGAGAGAUGCACAUUCCACAGCAAUUUCAGGCAUGUCAUUUGUUCAAGGAGAGCCACUUCUCAUUACGAAUGGUUCGGAUAAUGCUAUCAGAGUAUGGAUCUUUGAUGGCCCUGGUGGAAAUGGUAGAUUGCUGAGGUACCGGAUGGGACAUAGUGCACCUCCAACAAAAAUCAGAUAUCAUGGGCAAAACGGGCAGCAGAUUCUUAGUGCCAGUCAAGAUGGUACCUUGCAAACAUUUUCCACAGUACAUGAAAGAUUCAAUAAAAGCUUAGGACGUGGUUCCAUCAAUAAAAAGAAAUCAAAAAAGAAAGGCCUUCAGUAUGAUACAAUGGCACUUCCACCCAUUACAACAUUUGCAGCAGAGGUAGCCCGUCAAAGUGACUGGGAUGGAAUCAUUGCUUGCCAUCAAGGUUAUGUAACCUGUACUACCUGGAAUUAUCAGAAAUCCUCAAUGGGAAUCCAUAAACUGAAACCAGAAGACUUCAGCAAAAAUAAACCGCUUGGCGUAUAUGCCACGGCUGUAGAUAUCACUUCCUGUGGAAACUUUGCUGUAAUUGGACUUACAACUGGACAUGUCGAUGUAUACAACAUGCAGUCUGGUAUUCACAGAGGACGUUUUGGCAAAGAAAAUGCUCAUGAAGGGUCCAUAAGAGGAGUGGCAGUUGAUGGACUAAACCAGCUUACAAUCACAGCGGGAAGUGAAGGAUUGAUCAAAUUCUGGAAAUUCAAGACCAAAAAACUUAUUCAUUCUACUGAGCUCUCUACUUCUCCAAGUAAAAUGUUGCUUCACAGAGACAGUGGCAUUCUGGGCAUUGCAAUGGAUGACUUUGGCAUUAUUGUUCUGGAUAUAGAAACAAGAAAAAUUGUGAGGAACUUUUCAGGGCACCAAGGCCAGAUAAAUGACAUGACUUUCAGCCCUGAUGGCCGUUGGCUAAUAACUGCAUCUAUGGACUGUACCAUUAGGACUUGGGAUCUACCAUCUGGAUGCCUUGUUGAUUGUUUUCUGUUAGAUUCAGCAGCAGUAAGCAUUACUAUGUCUCCAACUGGGGAUUUCCUAGCCACUUCCCAUGUGGAUGAUCUUGGAAUUUACCUAUGGUCUAGCCAUUCCUUUUAUUCACUUGUCUCUCUGCGCCCACUUCCAGCAGAUUAUGAACCUUCUGUAGUAAUGCUUCCUGGAACCUGUCCAACUCAAGACAUAGAUGUUGCAGAAGAGGAAGAAACAAGUGAUGAGAUGAUAGAAUAUGAUUCCCCAGAGCAACUGGGAGAAGCAUUAGUGACCCUUUCUGUAUUGCCAGAAUCUAGAUGGAAGAGCCUACUCAACCUUGAUAUUAUUAAGCAAAAGAAUAAACCCAAAGAGCCACCAAAAGUGCCAAAAUCUGCACCAUUCUUCAUCCCCACAGUUCCUGGUCUUGUCCCACGAUAUGCUUCUGUUGAACAUGAAAAAGAUGGACACCAGUCCAAACUAGUACAUCUUGGCAUGUUGGCACAAAAAUCUGAAUUCUACUUACAGCUUGAAGAAGCGCUGGGAAACAGCAACUAUAAGCCUGCAGUUGGGAUUCUGAAGAAUAUGGGACCAUCUAAUAUUGAGACAGAACUGAGAGGCUUGUCACCAGAUGGAGGUGGCUCUGUUGAGGUGAUGCAGAGCUUCCUAAGAAUGAUUGAGGCAAUGCUGAAUACGAAGUGUGACUUCGAACUGGCUCAAGCGUACCUUGCAUUGUUCCUAAAGUUGCACUUUAAAAUCCUUUCCUCAGAGCCAUCUUUGCUGGCAGAAGUAUCCAGGCUGUCACCCCAACUUGAGGAAAUCUGGAUUCAUUUACAGACGCUUUUCAACCAAAGCCUUUGCAUUUUAAAUUACAUGAAGACAGCUUUGUUAUAAAGAACCUUUUGUUCUGUAAAAAUCAAGAUGUUAAAUCUCCAGUUACUUGUAUAAAGCACAUCUAAUGCUUCUUCUGACCUGACUUCACAUGGCCACCUCAGUCCAUAGUGGCUCAUAUAACUGGGUUGGCUUGCACAAUUGUUCUAGCCCACAAGUGGCCUAAUUUUCACAAUCAAAACAAACU